AAACGGGUAACGGGGAAUUAGGGUUUGAUUCCGGAGAGGAGCUCGAGAAACGGCUACCACUUCCAAGGAAGGCAGCAGGCGCGCAAAUUACCCACUGGCGACACGCCGAGGUAGUGACAACAAAUAAGUAGGUAGGUCUCAUUAGGGAUUUGCCAUACGAAUGAGUACAAUUUAAACCCCUUAACGAAAGCCACUGGAGGGCAAGUCUGGUGCCAGCAGCCGCGGUAAUUCCAGCUCCAGUAGCGUAUAUUAAAGCUGUUGCGGUUAAAAAGCUCGUAGUCGGAACUGAAGACUGUCAGAAGACUGGUCCAUGCAUAGUCAUGAGUACUGGUCAUCGAGUCUUUAUAAACUUCUGGAUGCCUGCUCCUACUCUUUAUUGAGUGGAAGUAACAAGCAAGCUGUGUUGGCAACAAUGCAGAUUGUGAAGGUUCCAGAUCGAUUACUUUGAGAAAAUUAGAGUGUUCAAAGCAGGCGGUCACGCCUUGAAUACAUUAGCAUGGGAUAAUGCCAUGGGACUCUGAGCCCAUUUCGUUGGUUUCUGGGAAUGGAGUCACGAUCAACAGGGACAGUUGGGGUGAUUCAUAUUUUGCCGACAGGGGUGAAAUCCUAUGACCGGCGAAAGAUGAACUAGUGCGAAAGCAUUUCACAAGGAUGUUUUCAUUGAUCAAGAACGAAAGUUGAGGGAUCGAAGGCGAUCAGAUACCGCCCUAGUCUCAACCAUAAACCAUGCCGACCAGGGAUCGGGAGACGUUCAAAUUAUACGACUCCCCCGGCACCUUGUGAGAAAUCACAAGUCUUUGGGCUUCGGGGGGAGUAUGGUCGCAAGGCUGAAACUUAAAGGAAUUGACGGAACGAUACCACCAGGAGUGGAGCCUGCGGCUUAAUUCGACCCAACACGGGAAAACUCACCAGGUCCAGACAGCGGAAGGAUGUACAGACUUGCAGAUCUUUAUAGAUUCGCUGGGUGGUGGUGCAUGGCCGUUCUUGGCUCGUGCGUUGACUUGUCUGGUUAAUUCCGUUAACGAGCGAGACCUCAGCCUGCUAAAUAGUCAGUGGACUCCUUUUCACCUUCGGGGGAAAAAUGGAGUGGCAAUGUUGACUUCUUAGAGGGACCAUGCGUUUCUAGCGCAGGGAAGUUUGAGGCAAUAACAGGUCUGUGAUGCCCUUCGAUGUCCUGGGCUGCACGCGCGCUACACUGAUGAACUCAACGAGUCUAUAGCUUGGCCGAAGGGUCUGGCUAAUCUCAUCAAAGUUCAUCAUGAUGGGGAUAGAUCAUUGCAAUUAUUGAUCUUCAACGAGGAAUUCCUAGUAGGUGCGAGUCAUCAGCUCGCGCCGAUUACGUCCCUGUCGUUUGUACACACCGCCCGUCGCUCCUACCGAUUGGAUGAUCAGGUGAACACCUCGGACGGUCUUGGCACUGCUGAUGGGGGAAACUCUGUUGACGGCCUAAAGAAAAACCGAAAGUCGUGUAAACCUUAUUAUCUAGAGGAAGGAGAAGUCGUAACAAGGUU
rnacentral:rRNA from 1 species